rnacentral:tRNA from 1 species
UCCCAUAUGGUCUAGCGGUCAGGAUUCUUGGUUUUCACCCAGGCGGCCUGGGUUCGACUCCCAGUAUGGGAA